UACAGGGGGUGCUAGCGUUGUUCGGAAUUACUGGGCGUAAAGGGCGCGUAGGUUGUUUCGCAAGUCAGAAGUGAAAUCCCGGAGCUUAACUCCGGAAUUGCUCCUGAUACUGCGGGGCUAGAGUGUAUUAGAGGAUGGCGGAAUUCCUAGUGUAGUGGUGAAAUACGUAGAUAUUAGGAAGAACACCGGUGGCGAAGGCGGCCAUCUGGGAUACAACUGACACUGAGGCGCGAAAGCGUGGGAGUCAAC
rnacentral:rRNA from 1 species